rnacentral:rRNA from 1 species
GACAGAGGUGCCGAGCGUUAGGCGGAAUCACUGGGCUUAAAGCGUGUGUAGGCGGCCCCGUUAAGUGUCUUGUGAAAUCCCCCGGCUCAACCGGGGAACUGCUGGGCAUACUGGCGGGCUUGGGUCGCUCAGGGGCAGACGGAACAGGCGGUGGGAGCGGUGAAAUGCGUAGAUAUCGCCUGGAACGCCGAAGGUGAAAACAGUCUGCUGGGGGCGCACCGGACGCUG